ensembl:lncRNA
UAUAUAUAUUAUAAUCAUUGUAAUGUCGCUGAUGUGUACAUAUUAGGGUAGUUGAAGUUCUGAGCUCAUGACCAGAAUGUUGUGAGUUCAAAUCCCAGCGCUACUAGAGAGGAAAAAAGCUUUAAGCCUCAGCUGCUCGGAUUGCUUCACUUGUUCACGUUCUUUGAUAUGACCAUCUCAAACCGAAUAACUGUAACGCAGUCACACUCAACACUUGCUCAAUUUCAAAUCAUGAAUUAAUCAUUAAAGGCUCUUAGAAAAUGAAAUGUUUUAAAUGAGCCACUUUUGUCAUCAAACAGACGACCAUGCCGAGCCUCCUCCAGUUCACUUAUUUUCUAUUUGCUUUCUCUUUACAAAUUUUGCGCCCUCUGUCAAACGAUGUGAUUUACGACGUGGUUAUGUUUCUUCCAUGGACGACUUUGAAUUCAAUCGAAAUGUCAUUAUCAUUCCUUUUGCGUUACUCUCAGUUCAACACUGUUUGCGCAGGCUUUCGUUUGUCGCCACUGGGUAAGCAGGUUUUAUCGCCUCACUCUGACAUGGAUUAGGUAUGUAUGUGUUCAAUCGCCAGCCUCCCACUCUUCUUAUUGCCUUAAAGCAGGUAAAAAGGUUUCCACCACAAAAAAAACAACAGAUAUUCAUUAUUCCAAGUAACGAAAAUGGUUGAAUAAUGUAUUAAGAUUUUACAAGUGUAAAGUUUGUUUCUCCAUUUCUCGAAAUAUCGAAAUAUUCUGUAAUAACUUGUAUCGCCUUUAUAACCGCAUUCAAUCUAUUUGCAUACUUUCUGAGCUGCUUAUAAUAAUAAUGUACAGAUUUAUUACAAUAUCAGGGGUGCAAACUUUUGCACUAUACAUAUCCAUAUGUUGUGGAUAAAAUGUACAAUGAUCUGCAUCAAUCAUUUAUUGCAUGACAUGAGCUCAUUUGCAAAUGUGUGAUCUUCAGCUCAUCUCUAAGGACAUCAACAAAAUCAAAGUGUUACGACUAUUACAAAAGGCGCUAACAUUCACUGAUGCUCAAGAAGGCAACACGAUACAUUAACAGCCAGUAGGAUUAUCGGUGUAAAUUGUUAUUAUUUUGUUUUCUGGGAAACAUGUAAAUAUCUUAUGUAACUUCUGAAGGGCAGUACUAAAUGGGAAAAAAAGAUUUUUAGACAAAAUAAUUUACACUGAUCAUCCAGUUCAAAACUUUACACCCUCUGGCUCUUAAUGUAUCGUGUCACCUUCUUGAGCAUCAGUGAAUGUUUGCACCUUUUGUAAUAGUCGUGAGACGAGUCCCUCAGUUGUCCUCAGUGUGAAAAGAUGGAUCUCGACAUCAUAUAGUCGCUGUUGGAAAGGGGUCAAAUAUACAGAAGAUGCUAGAAAAGUAAAGGAUGAGCAGGACCUGGAGGAUUUCUCUGAAGAACAGUGGGCAGUUUAACUGCUCAGGACAAACAAGGGACUCAUGAACAACUAUCACAAAACAUAAACACAGUCGUUGAUCAUCCAGGGUGCCCUUAUGCUUUGUACGUGUAAUAUGUUUCACCUGGAAAUGUGGAUUACGUAAAAACAUGAUUUAAGGUACGUAAUUUUUUUUAAAGUAAAGAUGUAAAGAUACACUCAUAUGUAGCGCUCUAGGUAAAAGAUUGACGCUAAAGGUUCAAAUUGUGUACACAUUAGGGGACCCACCCCAGCGAUAAAUAGUCAUAUAGUUUUUUACUGAAGGUACAGGAUAAUGCUUCAAUCAGGAUUCAGUUCAAAAGUAAUUGUUUUUGUUGAAGUAAUGGUAAGCUCUAAGUCUUUCUAUGUUUCUGCUUGUGGCCACCCUAUUGUAAACGGUUUCACGAUUCAUCCCUUUCUUUUUCUGUAAAAGCUUUUUAAUCACCGCCUGAGCUCAGCUAGCAGUGCUUUUUAAAAUUUUGUAUUUUCAUCGCUGGCUGGGCAACGUUCCACUCCAUAUCACUUAAGACCAUUUAGGCUCUCAUAAGGGCUGUAGAUGUGCCAUCAAACCGCGCCGUCUCUCUCACGCUUCAUAAACCUCAUUGUGCGCCUCCAGCAUUGCCGUAAUCACCAUGGAUAACUAUUUCCUUCCCUUUCAAACGAAAGUCAUAUAUAAACACCAUUAAGCCGUGCUACAUGCGGCCAGCGUGAGAGGAAUGGGUUUGCUCGUACUUUUAUGGUGCGAUAUCGAGAGCCCCAUUUUAGAUACGACAGAGUGCCAUUAUAGCGUGUGAAGAGGUGCAGGCAAACACAGCAUUGUAUCAGACGGUCUGAGUACUGGACAGCCACAGACAGGUUAAAAAGCAAACUUUUACUGUGUAUUUACUUUUACUGUGUCUCUAUUUUUCUCAUUUAGUUACGUGUCAAAAUAGACAUUCACUGUAUAUUCUAAAACAGGAUGUCCAUUAUGCUUCCAUAUAGAUAUAUAGUUAAUUUAGUUCAAUAUUCCAAAAUAUACAGUGUGGUCCAAAAAUCUGAGACCACAUUGAGCAUCUGUUGUUUUUUUCUUCUUCUUUUAAAACUGGAAAUAGCAAAGUUUUAGAAUUUGAAUUUUGAAAAUUC